UUUUUUUUUUGUUUUUUGUUUUUUUUGUCUUGUUUUUUCUUACAGCUAGACUGAUGAUUAAGGAAAGCACUGAUCAACUCCUUGGAGUGAAAAUGGAGAAAAGUAACUUACACUUUUAGUGUAUUCACUUCUACACUCUCUAAUUGCUUCAAGACUUCUUUAAAAACUCAAUGCAUUGAGCUGAGGCACAGCUCAGUGGUAGACUAUUGGUUUAGCAUGUGCAAGGCCCUAGAUCAGAUCCCUGGCACUGAAAAAAAAAUCAUUUAUAUUUAAUAUCUUUAAAUAUAUCUCUUGGGCUUUAGCUUCUUUCUCCAUAAAAGAUUGAGGUGGAGCUGUAAGGUGAAUUCCAACUAUAAAAGUAGAAAAUAUAUCUAUAUUUGACUCACUAAUCAUCUCUUUGGACAUAACAAGGCUACACCAUAUAAUCUCUCCCUUAGUAAAGGGAGAGUGGGGGGGUACAACAGGCAGCAGCACAUAAGAACAUGGGCAAAGAAAGGCUCCAAAGCAAGGAAGGGCGUGAAGAGUCUCAAGCCAUCAAAGUCCCUUCUUGGCCAUUCAUAGUGAGUAGUGGGAGAUAAUGUGCAUAGGUAGGGGGGAGCAAAACCAGAGAGACCUGGACUGCCAGGCUUAGAACGUUCAUCUUUAUUUUAAAGUCAAUUUGUACAGGAGAGAAAGAGGGGUACCGGAGAUUUGGGGGAGAAGGGGCAAUAAAAUAAGACCUUUGUCCCUUAGUCAUCUUUCUGUAUUUCCCUUAUUGGCAGAUAAGGACUGUUCUCAUCCUGCUUUGGAAUAGUAAAAUUUCAAACCAAACUAGACAGCCAGAAAGAAGUGCAUGGAAAUAACCUCCUCACAGGACAGCCUUGUGACAACAGAGUACAUAGUGUUGCAACUAAGAAGGCUCACCAUGAACAGAUUGUUCAGUGAGCUAAGCUAACUGAGCAGGAAACUGUCUCCUUGUUACCUCUUCUGAAAAUUCAUUCCAUAUUAAAGGAUGCCCAUGCCACUUGGAAAAUCUUAGGUCCAGGACUUUGACAGUCUCCCCUGCUUACAGUCAGUACCUUUGAAGGUUAAAGUCAUGGGCCAGAGACAAUUUAAACUACAGAAAGUCUUUGUAAAUGUUAAUACUUUUGUUUUCCUAAAUUUUUUGUCACUUGGAAUGAUUUCUGAUAUGAAAAAGAUAUUUAAUUUAGAUUAUAAAAUAAAUUCCUGGCUGGAUACUUAUACACAUCCAUCAUAAAGGUAGCAGGGAACUUUGUCACCCAUGUUUGAAUCAUAGAUACCAAGAUCAAAUAGAUCAAUAGAGUGAAUGGUACUUAAAUGUACAAUUUUAUGGACAAAAAUCUAGCCAUCACCCAAAUUGUACCAUAGAACAUACAAUCAAUAAUAAUUUUUGUAUCUAGUUUCUUAAACUCAACAUUAUGAGAUGAAUCUGUAGUACUGAGCACAAUAUUUUUACCUUAUUUUCACAGCUAUGUAUUAUUCCAUUGUUUGAAUAUAUCAUAAUUUAUUAGUCAUUUUACUGCCAAUGAAUGUUUCAGUUAUUUCCAAGUCUCUUAUGUUAUAAAUAAUUAUGUAUGAUCACUCUCUUAGAUGUUUUUGAUUCACAUGUGUACACAUUUCUAUUGAAUAUAUAUAUAUAUAUAUAUAUAUAUAUAUAUAUAUAUAUAGGAGUAAACUUAGUGGGUAUAGAGUAUAUUCAUAUUUAGCCUUAAUAUUAACUGCCAAUUUUCCAAUGUACCAAUUUACAUUAGCAAUCUAUGAUUAGUUCCAGAUAUUUCGUAUGCUUGCUAACUUUUGAUAGUAUCUUUUUUAAAAGAAGUUAUUCCAUUAGGUGGCAUAGUGGUAUGACAAUGAGAUUUUAACAUGCAUUGUCUUGACAACUUGUAAUGGAGAGCAUCUUUUCAUGAGGUUAUUGACUAUUUUCAAAAGUGCCUGUUAAGUCAUUUGCCCAUGUUUAACAAUGGAAUUGUAUAAAAUUUUGGUGACUUGAAAGAGUUUUAUAUAUAUAUAUAUAUAUAUAUAUAUAUGCAUUUGUAUAAUUAAUUGACAAUUGUUAUAUAUGUCUAUAUAAAGUAUAAGUACUUUGUAUUUUACAAGUCCUUUGAUUACAAGACCUUUGCCAGAUAUAUACUACAAUUAUCUUUUCUAUGUAAUUAGAUGAGUAGAAUGUUUUAAAAUUUUAAUGAAGUACAGUUUAUUAAUCUUUCCAUUGUAGUUAAUACUUUUUAUCCUGUUUAGAAAACCUUUGCCUACCACAAGGUAAAAAAGAAAAUCUCUCAUUGUUAAUUUCUAGAAACUUUGUAAUUUUACCUUUUGCAUUUAGGUAUGAGAGCCAUCUGUAAUAUGUGUGUGUGUGUGUGUGUGUGUAUGAGUGUAAGUGUGUCCGUGCGCAGUAAUGACAUAUCUAUUUUUUAAAAAUAAUGAAUAUCCAAUUGAGUUUAACAUAAAAAUCAAUAUGAAGAGAAUUGACACUUUAUAAUACUGAGUCUUCCAAUUCAUGAGUGUGAUACAUCACUUAAUUUAUUUGGCUCCUUUUUAGUUUCUUCCAGAAAUGUUUUGUAGCUGUCUUUGAGGAGGUCUUGUAAUAGCAAAUUCUUAGAUGUCGAUUUGGUUAUGGUGCCCAGCCAUUUGGUCAAAGUGUAUAUAGUACUUGCCUAGCAUGAGUGAGGCUCUGGGUUCAAUCCUCAGCAUCACAAAGGAAAAAAAAAAAAAACAUUAACCUCAACAUAGUUUUCCUGUUUACCAACUUUCUUUCUCAUAUUGCCUUUGUGUGUACGUCCAAAUAUCUGUUCCUUGGCCAUUACAAUUUUUAUGAUCCUCAGUAGGAAGAGAGGUUUUCUUUAAAGGUCAUUGUCUUAGCCCAUUUUCUCUUGCUAUAACCAAAUACCACAGACUGGGUAAUUUAUAAAGAAUAAAGUUUUGGCCUUGGGUUGUGGCUCAGUAGUAGAGCACUUGCCUAGUACCUGCGAGGCACUGGGUUUGAUCAUCAGCACCACAUUAAAAUCAAUAAAGUAUUCAAUUAGAUGUUUUAAAAAAUAAUAAAGGUUUAUUUGACUCAUGGUUUGGGGUGUUGGGAAGUUCAAGUUUGAGCAUCUACUUGAUGGCGGGGACUGUAGAAUCCUGAGGUAGCACAGGGCAUCACAUGGCAAGAUAGGGUAAGUGCGCUAGCUCAAGACUCUUCUAAAAAAAGCCACUAAUUGCACCAUAGGGGCCCUGCCAUCAUGACCUCAUCUAAUCCUAAUUACAUCCCAAAGGUUCCACUUCCAAAUACCAUUAACACAUGACUUUAGGGAUAAGGUUUCCAAAACAAUCAAUUUGGGGGACAUACUCAAACUUUAGCGGUUACCGACAUCUUCCAUCUGGCUAACUCUUUUGGUCAAUUCUUCAUUUUAUAUAAAUUGACUUUUGACUUAUCAACGGCAUUUCAUCAGGAGAACAGGGAAGAAACAUU
rnacentral:lncRNA from 1 species